GGUUAAUUGUUGUUUGACUUGAGUGUCGGUGAAAAUAUUCGUUUUCUUUAAAAUUCAAAUAAUACAAUAAACGUAAUACCAAUUAUAUCAUUUAAGAAACAAAAAAUGGCGCUCUUUGCCAUGUGAUCCGCAUUCGCCGCAGAAGACUAAAUCGCUGCAGGCGAGAGUGAUAGAAGGAGAGCGCUUUACGCAUGCCAAAAAUCGACGGAGAACAAAAAAUAUUUGCAAGCACUUCGUGUACCUUGAUUCUACAUUGGCAAAGACGGUCAAGUGCGGCCCCUAAAAGGAAGCUGCACAAGAAUUUAACUGGAAGUAAAAUUAAUUCGUAUGAAGUGACGCAAAGGGGGCU